AUUGAACGCUGGCGGCAGGCCUAACACAUGCAAGUCGAGCGAGCGGCGGACGGGUGAGUAAUGUAUGGGGACUGCCCGAUAGAGGGGGAUAACUACUGGAAACGGUGGCUAAUACCGCAUACUAUCGGAUAACCCAUAUGGGAUUAGCUAGUAGGUGGGGUAAAGGCGCACCUAGGCGACGAUAUCUAGCUGGUCUGAGAGGAUGUACAGCUAAAUGGGGACUGAGACACGGCCCAGACUCCUACGGGGGCAGCAUGGGGGAAUAUUGCACAGUUGGCGCAAGCCUGAUGCAGCCAUGCCGCGUGCAUGAAGAAGGCCUUAGGGUUGUAAAGUACUUUCAGCGGGGAGGCGUUACCCGCAGAAGAAGCACCGGCUAACUCCGUGCCAGCAGCCGCGGUAAUUC
rnacentral:rRNA from 1 species